AAUUCUAGAACAAAUUGGCUAUACAUAUCGAUGAACUAUAGCAUUGUGAAACGUUCAUCGCAGCGCUCUAAGCCCAAAUAGCGUUCUGUGCUGUUCUAAGAAACGAAGGCCUUAUUCACCGAUUUUAACUUUUUUUGAACUGCUGUUAGCAUUAAAGAGCUGCAAUCAAAGCCAAGUUAAGUGAAGGCCACACUGUAGCGAGACGUCUUAACUGUGAAAGAAACAUAUAAGAUGAGUUUAAAAUUCGACCAAGUGGAAUUGAUUCCCAAAUAUGCGUACAGUUAAUUUAAAGGUUUUCAGUAAAUAUUAAACAGUUUUUAAAAGAGAACGUAGAAAGUCAUUCCAUGAAGCAAAAUAUUUAAUUAUUAUAUAUUAGACUGAGGAGAUUUUGUGUGCCAUAGAUAUUAAAUACGCUUUAAUUGGAUAGUAGCGCAAAUCCAAGCAAUUUUGCAGAGUAAAAUUUGAGUAGUGUUUAUAUUACCCAAUAUAUGCAUGUUUACUUCCGUAAUUGUUUCUUGUGAGCAUGUUUUAGCCGGUAUCCAGAAAAUUUUGUUAUAUUUUAUUUUAAUGUAUUAAAAUCUAUCUGAGCAUGUUUUAGCCGGUAUCCAGAAAAUUUAUUUAUACUUAGAAUUCGCUUACCGCCUGGCAAAUCCAUGGUCAGUUUUGUCGCAAUUAUAUUUUUAUCUUACAAGUAUGAUUGCGACAUUGCACCCUUUUCGGGUUUAUCAUCAUUCAUGACUCGAGAGAGAGCUAUAGAUUCAUAAAGUAAAGUUGUUUAUAUAUUUAUGGUUUUGUGUGUGUAUAGUUUGUGGAACCCCGUUAUUGAAGAUUAUCUUUGUGUUUGUAGUGACUCCAUCCAUUUUGUGCAUUUAUAUUUAGUUGUCGAAGUGGCUGUUGUAUGUAUUGUAUUUUUUUAUUAUAGCAAACCAUAUAUAAUAGAUUAAAAUAAAAUAUAAAUAAAUUGCCCAACAUAAAACUUUUUAUGAGCGCUUGGAGUCAAAAGGAGUGCAAAAAAAUGCAUUAUCCUUCAAAUUGAGCAAUCAAAAAUUGCAAAUUCAACCAUAAAAUUGCUUUUAAUUGUAUAAUUAGAGCCAAGGCUAGACUCUACAGCUGUGGUGUAAUUAUAUUAAGUGCUGCUGAUACUUGGAAUAUUCGAAUCCUGUGAAGCCGACACGUAAAUUCUAGAUAAAGAACAAUGCAAGUCUUGUAAGUUGUAAAAGCCUUUUUCAUAAUAUAGCAUUUACCAAUAAGGAGACAUUUAUCGCAAAGCAACAAAUGGCAAGAAUCUACAAAGCCAGAUAAAGGCGAAAUAAUGGAUAUAUAAAGCAACAAUUGAUCCCACAAGAAAAUGUCAACGCAAUUGAAAGGACUUUCAUUCUUGAGAUUAGCAAUGUAGCAGUACCCGAAUUUCUUUGUUCUGUAAAGUUUUCACUUUUCCUGAUUGAUAAUUGGGAGGUGGUGGGGAGGGCUCAUAUUCAUAUAUUCGUAAUUAUAAUACCUAGAACAAAUAAGUUCAAUAAAAACAAAUAAAGUGUAACAAGCAUAUAUGAAUAUUAUCUCUCCCAAUUAGUGAUCUUUCGCCGUUCCUGCUUUUUUAGGAUUUUGUAUUUGCUCACAGAUAAAUACAUACUUGUAAUUCAGGGGUUAGUAAAGACAUUGUAUUGCACAUCGCAAAUCCACUAGCAUAUUUUUAAUUAGCAUUUACUUUCUUAAGUAUCCAAAGAGUAAUCAUGUUGACUCAUGCAUAUUUUUAACGUCGACGUACUUCAAAGGAUGGUAUAAAGAAAGCCGCGACCUCUUUGAAAUUGUUGCUGCUGAAAAUGAAAUAUUUUAAAAGCUGAAUCCUGUUUUCUGACGACACGCGAAAAACAUUAUCAUGUAAAUCAUGAUAAAUGCAGUCAAUCCUGUGUUAAGCAGUCAUCCUCAAUCGAUGAUAUUGGUAUCUCUUGAUUGCUUCGUACAGCUGUUGUAGAAAAUCACAGAUAUAAUAAAAGGCAUGUAAUAAAAUUUAUGAUUUUAACAGCAAUUUAAUUUAAUGCUUGCAUGUGGAAAAUAACCAAUAAAAAACCGAAUAAAACUGAAUUUUUUCUAAGGUUAAUUAAAAA